UGUUUUGCUUUGCACUAUUGUGAGAUGUUCAACAAGACCUAAGGAAAUUUAAAACUUUUACUUGUCACCUGACUUUGCACCAGUCCUUGGAUUAAAGGCCAGACCUGUCCAGUGUUUGUCAAGUAAGGGCAUAUUAACGCACCCAUUGGAUGUGAAUCUGAAAUUUAGUGGCCUAGUUGGUUCUAUUUGAAAGGGGGCAGCUAAGUGCUGGUACCAGAUUUCACCCUCCUUUCUAUCACAUCACAACCACAGUAUAUAGUUCACAUGACACAAACAAAGGAAAUUCGCCUCUUUUUGUAGCAAUAACAGUGGAAGUUGUUGCAGUGUAAUGGAGCAAUGGAAAAUUCAG